rnacentral:rRNA from 1 species
CGCGAAUUCGCCCUUAGGGUUUGAUUAUGGCUCAGAUUGAACGCUGGCGGCAGGCCUAACACAUGCAAGUCGAGCGGUAGCACAGGAGAGCUUGCUCUCUGGGUGACGAGCGGCGGACGGGUGAGUAAUGUCUGGGAAACUGCCCGAUGGAGGGGGAUAACCACUGGAAACGGUGGCUAAUACCGCAUAACGUCUACGGACCAAAGAGGGGGACCUUCGGGCCUCUUGCCAUCGGAUGUGCCCAGAUGGGAUUAGCUAGUAGGUGGGGUAACGGCUCACCUAGGCGACGAUCCCUAGCUGGUCUGAGAGGAUGACCAGCCACACUGGAACUGAGACACGGUCCAGACUCCUACGGGAGGCAGCAGUGGGGAAUAUUGCACAAUGGGCGCAAGCCUGAUGCAGCCAUGCCGCGUGUGUGAAGAAGGCCUUCGGGUUGUAAAGCACUUUCAGCGAGGAGGAAGGCCAAUAACUUAAUACGUUGUUGGAUUGACGUUACUCGCAGAAGAAGCACCGGCUAACUCCGUGCCAGCAGCCGCGGUAAUACGGAGGGUGCAAGCGUUAAUCGGAAUUACUGGGCGUAAAGCGCACGCAGGCGGUUUGUUAAGUCAGAUGUGAAAUCCCCGCGCUUAACGUGGGAACUGCAUUUGAAACUGGCAAGCU